ACUUACCGUCAGGUCGAAAACGUGGGGAACCAACCAGAUUAGAUUACCUGGUUGUUCCCCCGUUAACGAAGUCGAAUUAGAGGUUGGGGUCUUUAAGCAGGCUUUUGGAACUUACCCCUUUAAUCCACCCCCUGGGGAAUUCCGGCCCCAAGGUAAAAAUCAAAAGAAAUGACGGGGGGCCCCCCCAACGGGGGAGCAAGUGGGUUUAAUUGAUUCCACGCGAAAAACCCUUCCUUAUUUUGGCCUUCCAGGAAUCCUAUAGAGGAAGAGGAGUUCCUUUGGGGACGUUGAGACAGGUGCCGCAUGGCCGUCGUCAACUCGUGUUUUGAAAUGUUGGGUUUAGUUCCCCAACGAGCGCCAACCUUAUCCUUUGUUUCCAGCACGUAAUGUGGGGAACUCAAAGGAGACUGCCGGUGAUAAACCGGAGGAAGGUGGGGAUGACGUCAAGUCAUCAUGGCCCUUACGAGUAGGGCUACACACGUGCUACAAUGGCGGAUACAAAGAGAAGCGACCUCGCGAGAGCAAGCGGAACUCAUAAAGUCUGUCGUAGUCCGGAUUGGAGUCUGCAACUCGACUCCAUGAAGUCGGAAUCGCUAGUAAUCGUAGAUCAGAAUGCUACGGUGAAUACGUUCCCGGGCCUUGUACACACCGCCCGUCACACCAUGGGAGUGGGUUGCAAAAGAAGUAGGUAGCUUAACCUUCGGGAGGGCGCUUACCACU
rnacentral:rRNA from 1 species